rnacentral:rRNA from 1 species
GCACAGCAUCGCAUGAUGCAGUGUGAAAAACUCCGGUGGUAUGAGAUGGGCCCGCGUCAGAUUAGCCAGUUGGCAGGGUAACGGCCUACCAAAGCGACGAUCUGUAGCCGGCCUGAGAGGGCGGACGGCCACAUUGGGACUGAGACACGGCCCAAACUCCUACGGGAGGCAGCAGUGGGGGAUAUUGCACAAUGGAGGAAACUCUGAUGCAGCGACGCCGCGUGAGUGAAGAAGUAUUUCGGUAUGUAAAGCUCUAUCAGCAGGGAAGAAAGGCUCGAAAGAGAGAUGACGGUACCUGACUAAGAAGCCCCGGCUAACUACGUGCCAGCAGCCGCGGUAAUACGUAGGGGGCAAGCGUUAUCCGGAUUUACUGGGUGUAAAGGGAGCGCAGACGGAUGUGCAAGUCUGAAGUGAAACCCCACGGCUCAACCGUGGGCUUGCUUUGGAAACUGUAUAUCUAGAGUACUGGAGAGGUAAGCGGAAUUCCUAGUGUAGCGGUGAAAUGCGUAGAUAUUAGGAGGAACAUCGGUGGCGAAGGCGGCUUACUGGACAGCAACUGACGUUGAGGCUCGAAGGCGUG